rnacentral:lncRNA from 10 species
GGCGAGAGAGUGAGACUCUGUCUCAAAAAAAAAGAAAAAAGAAAAAAAAAAAAGGAGGAUUGGGGUAUAGUUUAGGGGAGUGUCACUCCAAGAAAGACAGUGGAAGGCAAGUGACAAUCUUAAACUAAAAUUUCAGCCUCCAGAGCCCAACCCCUUCACUACCAUAGCAAAAGAAACAAGAGAUAAUGCUCAAUAAUGCCUUUAAACAAUGCUGAGAGUCAGGGCCAGCUAAUUAUCUAGGCUGUGCCAAGAGACCCAGGGGCACUUACUUCGUAUUUUCUGGUGGCCUUAUACGCCCUGGCAUUUGUGCUUCACUUCAGUCAGUUACAGAGACAUGUCAGAGCCCAUGCUGGGGGGUUGUGUUUAAUGCACGCAGACUUGCCCAGGCGCAGUGGCUCACGCCUGUCAUCCCAGCACUUUGGGAGGCAGAGGCGGGUGGAUCACCUGAGGUCAGGAGUUUGAGACCAGCCUGGCCAAAACAUGGUGAAACCCCGUCUCCACUAAAAAUGUAAAAAUUAGCUGGGUGUGGUGGUGCAUGCCUGUAAUCGCAGCUACUUGGGAGGCUGAGGCAGGACAAUCGCUUGAACCCAGGAGUUGGAGGGUGCAGUGAGAUCGUGCCACUGCACUCUAGCCUGGGUGACAGAGCCAGACUCCGGC